rnacentral:rRNA from 1 species
UAUGGAAAGACCGGUACAAGCGGGGUAGGUGUACAAUAGGCAAAUCCGUUGUAUAAUCCGAAGACGUGAUGUGGAGCGAAAUAAAGUAGCAAAGCGUGUGAGCCAUGUGCCGAGAAAAGCUGCUAUUGUGUAAUGCGUGCCCGUACCGUAAACCGACACAGGUGGAUGAGGAGAGAAUCCUAAGGCCGACGGAAGAAGCAUUGUUAAGGAAUUCGGCAAAAUGACCCCGUAACUUCGGGAGAAGGGGUGCCUGCGAGAGCAGGCCGCAGAGAAUAGGCUCAAGCAACUGUUUAGCAAAAACACAGGUCUAUGCGAAACCGAAAGGUGAAGUAUAUGGGCUGACGCCUGCCCGGUGCUGGAAGGUUAGGAGGAGAGGUUAGCGUAAGCGAAGCUUUGAAUUUAAGCCCCAGUAAACGGCGGCCGUAACGAUAACGGUCCUAAGGUAGCGAAAUUCCUUGUCGGGUAAGUUCCGACCCGCACGAAAGGCGUAAUGAUUUGAGCACUGUCUCGACAAUGCAUCCGGUGAAAUUGAAGUACCAGUGAAGAUGCUGGUUACCCGCGCCAGGACGGAAAGACCCCAUGGAGCUUUACUCCAGUUUGAUACUGGGAUUCGGUACUGCAUGUACAGGAUAGGUGGGAGACGAAGAAGGAUGGACGCCAGUCUGUCCGGAGUCGCUGUUGGGAUACCACCCCUGUAGUACUGGGUUUCUAACCAGUUGCCAUGAACUGGCAAUGGGACAAUGUCAGGCGGGGAGUUUGACUGGGGCGGUCGCCUCCGAAAGGGUAUCGGAGGCGCUCAAAGGUUCCCUCAGAAUGGUUGGAAACCAUUUGAAGAGUGCAAAGGCAGAAGGGAGCUUGACUGCGACACCGACGGGUGGAGCAGGUACGAAAGUAGGACUUAGUGAUCCGGUGGUAUAAAGUGGGAUUGCCAUCGCUCAACGGAUAAAAGCUACCUGGGAUAACAGGCUUAUCACUCCCAAGAGUUCACAUCGACGGAGUGGUUUGGCACCUCGAUGUCGGCUCAUCGCAUCCUGGGGCUGUAGCAGGUCCCAAGGGUUGGGCUGUUCGCCCAUUAAAGCGGUACGCGAGCUGGGUUCAGAACGUCGUGAGACAGUUCGGUCCCUAUCCGGCGCGGGCGGAGGAUAUCUGAGAGGAGCUGUCCUUAGUACGAGAGGACCGGGAUGGACGGACCACUGGUGUAUCUGUUGUCGACCAACGGCAUGGCAGAGUAGCCAAGUCUGGAAGGGAUAAACGCUGAAGGCAUCUAAGCGUGAAGCCCCCCUCAAGAUGAGAUAUCCCUCCUUCGGGAGUAAGACCCCUUGAAGACUACAAGGUAGAUAGGGCAGAGGUGGAAGCAUGGCAACAUGUGGAGCUGACUGUUACUAAUAGGUCGAGGGCUUAAUGA